rnacentral:rRNA from 1 species
GACGGGUGAGUAAUGUCUGGGAAACUGCCUGAUGGAGGGGGAUAACUACUGGAAACGGUAGCUAAUACCGCAUAACGUCGCAAGACCAAAGAGGGGGACCUUCGGGCCUCUUGCCAUCGGAUGUGCCCAGAUGGGAUUAGCUAGUAGGUGGGGUAACGGCUCACCUAGGCGACGAUCCCUAGCUGGUCUGAGAGGAUGACCAGCCACACUGGAACUGAGACACGGUCCAGACUCCUACGGGAGGCAGCAUG